AAGUGGAGCAAUCCAUGAGUAUAGUGGCGACCGGGUGAGUAACACGUGACUACCUGCCCUUGAGUGGGGGAUAACCUCGGGAAACCGAGGCUAAUACCGCAUAAUAUCGCAAGAUCAAAGGAGCAAUCCGCUUUUGGAGGGGGUCGCGGCUGAUUAGCUAGUUGGUGAGGUAAUGGCUCACCAAGGCGAAGAUCGGUAUCCGGCCUGAGAGGGCGCACGGACACACUGGAACUGAAACACGGUCCAGACUCCUACGGGAGGCAGCAGUGGGGAAUUUUGCGCAAUGGGGGAAACCCUGACGCAGCAACGCCGCGUGGAGGAUGAAGCCCCUUGGG
rnacentral:rRNA from 1 species